rnacentral:rRNA from 1 species
UACGAAGGGGGCUAGCGUUGCUCGGAAUCACUGGGCGUAAAGGGCGCGUAGGCGGCCAUUCAAGUCGGGGGUGAAAGCCUGUGGCUCAACCACAGAAUUGCCUUCGAUACUGUUUGGCUUGAGUAUGGCAGAGGUUGGUGGAACUGCGAGUGUAGAGGUGAAAUUCGUAGAUAUUCGCAAGAACACCAGUGGCGAAGGCGGCCAACUGGGCCAUUACUGACGCUGAGGCGGCGAAAGCGUGGGGAGCAAACAGG